rnacentral:siRNA from 1 species
CAAAACCGCCCACUGUACUGC